rnacentral:rRNA from 1 species
GUGCCAGCACGCCGUCGGUAAUUCCAGCUCCAAUAGCGUAUAUUAAAGUUGUUGUGGUUAAAAAGCUCGUAGUUGAACCUUGGGCCUGGCUGGCCGGUCCGCCUCACCGCGUGCACUGGUCCGGCCGGGCCUUUCCCUCUGUGGAACCCCAUACCCUUCACUGGGCGUGGCGGGGAAACAGGACAUUUACUUUGAAAAAAUUAGAGUGCUCCAGGCAGGCCUAUGCUCGAAUACAUUAGCAUGGAAUAAUAAAAUAGGACGCGCGGUUCUAUUUUGUUGGUUUAUAGGACCGCCGUAAUGAUUAAUAGGGACAGUCGGGGGCAUCAGUAUUCAACUGUCAGAGGUGAAAUUCUUGGAUCAGUUGAAGACUAACUACUGCGAAAGCAUUUGCCAAGGAUGUUUUCAUUAAUCAGGAACGAAAGUUAGGGGAUCGAAGACGAUCAGAUACCGUCGUAGUCUUAACCAUAAACUAUGCCGACUAGGGAUCGGACGGUGUUAUUCAUGACCCGUUCGGCACCUUACGAGAAAUCAAAGUGCUUGGGCUCCAGGGGGAGUAUGGUCGCAAGGCUGAAACUUAAAGAAAUUGACGGAAGGGCACCACCAGGGGUGGAGCCUGCGGCUUAAUUUGACUCAACACGGGGAAACUCACCAGGUCCAGACACAAUAAGGAUUGACAGAUUGAGAGCUCUUUCUUGAUUUUGUGGGUGGUGGUGCAUGGCCGUUCUAGUUGGUGGGGUGACUUGUCUGCUUAAUUGCGAUAACGAACGAGACCUUAACCUGCUAAAAUAAGUC